ACGCUCGACACCUACGGGAGGUAGCAGUAGGGAAUCUUCCACAAUGGGCGCAAGCCUGAUGGAGCAACACCGCGUGAGUGAAGAAGGGUUUCGGCUCGUAAAGCUCUGUUGUUGGAGAAGAACGUGCGUGAGAGUAACUGUUCACGCAGUGACGGUAUCCAACCAGAAAGUCACGGCUAACUACGUGCUAGCAGCCGCGGUAAUCUGAGCGGGCUGGCAAGGC
rnacentral:rRNA from 1 species